rnacentral:misc_RNA from 1 species
CAGUGUUGUCAAAUGGGGCGAUUUGUCGCGAAUUGGGCGAUUUUUUUCAUGGAUACGCUCCUUUUUUUAAGUUUGGGCGACAAGUCGCAAAUUAGGCUCUUUUUAAUCCUCAGCGUUGGCAACAAGUUAAAAGUACAAAAACCGUUACAAAAAAUAUUGUUUUUUUUUUAUGUCCCAAUAAGCUUCCUUUAAUUUUGAAAUUGAGUCAAUAUAUUUUAUCUGUAUCUUUUAUUUUAUCUUUUGUAUCUUGGGACAUCAUGUAAGUUAAUAAUAUCUAUAAUAUAAAAAUGAGUCGCUGAAUGUGUUGCUAAGCGCAAAACUCGAGAACGAUUAGACCGAUUUCGCUAAUUCUUUUUUUUAAAAUAUUCCUUGAAGUACGAGGAUGGUUCUUACGGAGA